CUGGCUCAGGAUGAACGCUAGCGACAGGCUUAACACAUGCAAGUCGAGGGGCAGCAUAGAAGUAGCAAUACUUGGUGGCGACCGGCGCACGGGUGAGUAACGCGUAUGCAACCUACCUAUCAGAGGGGAAUAACCCGGCGAAAGUCGGACUAAUACCGCAUAAAACAGGGGCACCGCAUGGUGAUAUUUGUUAAAGAAAUUCGCUGAUAGAUGGGCAUGCGUUCCAUUAGGUAGUUGGUGAGGUAACGGCUCACCAAGCCGACGAUGGAUAGGGGAACUGAGAGGUUGGUCCCCCACACUGGUACUGAGACACGGACCAGACUCCUACGGGAGGCAGCAGUGAGGAAUAUUGGUCAAUGGGCGGGAGCCUGAACCAGCCAAGUCGCCGUGAAGGAAGAAGGAUCUAUGGUUCGUAAACUUCUUUUGCAGGGGAAUAAAGUGCAGGACGUGUCCUGUUUUGUAUGUACCCUGAGAAUAAGGAUCGGCUAACUCCGUGCCAGCCGCCGC
rnacentral:rRNA from 1 species